rnacentral:lncRNA from 1 species
GAAUCAAUCUGCUGCACAUACUCAUCAAAGCUCCCGCUUUUCUUCUUCAACUGCUCCACAAAAACCCUGAGCCCCGCCGCCACGUCACCAAAGCCUUUGUACUCCUCCGCCACUCUCAGAUUCAUCUUCUCCAAGAGCUCCAGCGUAUUAUUCGUUCCCUAAUUUUUAAUUUCUCUUUUUAUUUGGUCUCGGGAAAAAAAAAGUCCAGAAAGUUAAAAUUAAUUUCGUAAGUUAGUGAUCUGACCUGGAGCUCGGAUUUUACCAUAGCGGAGACGCUGGUAAAGAGAUCGUUGAGUGACUCAGCGAGUUCAUCGCGCGCCUCUGUCUUAGGUUCUUCCUCUUUCCCUGCCAUGCCUCUGCAAUAGCGAUUGUUUCGACUGAGG